rnacentral:rRNA from 1 species
GAUGAACGCUGGCGGCGUGCCUAAUACAUGCAAGUCGAGCGAACGGACGAGAAGCUUGCUUCUCUGAUGUUAGCGGCUGACGUGUGAGUAACACGUGGAUAACCUACCUAUAAGACUGGGAUAACUUCGGGAAACCGUAACUAAUACCGGAUAAUAUUUUGAACCGCAUGGUUCAAAAGUGAAAGACGGUCUUGCUGUCACUUAUAGAUGGAUCCGCGCUGCAUUAGCUAGUUGGUAAGGUAACGGCUUACCAAGGCAACGAUGCAUACCCGACCUGAGAGGGUGAUCGGCCACACUGGAACUGAGACACGGACCAGACUCCUACGGGAGGAAGCAGUAGGGAAUCUUCCGCAAUGGGCGAAAGCCUGACGGAGCAACGCCGAGUGAGUGAUGAAGGUCUUCGGAUCGUAAAACUCUGUUAUUAGGGAAGAACAUAUGUGUAAGUAACUGUGCACAUAUUGACGGUACCUAAUCAGAAAGCCACGGCUAACUACGUG